rnacentral:rRNA from 1 species
UGGCUCAGGACGAACGCUGGCGGCGUGCCUAAUACAUGCAAGUCGAGCGGAAUCGAUGGAGUGCUUGCACUCCUGAGAUUUAGCGGCGGACGGGUGAGUAACACGUAGGCAACCUGCCCUCAAGACUGGGAUAACUACCGGAAACGGUAGCUAAUACCAGAUAGGAUAUUUGGCUGCAUGGCCGAAUAUGGAAAGGCGGAGCAAUCUGUCACUUGAGGAUGGGCCUGCGGCGCAUUAGCUAGUUGGUGGGGUAAUGGCCUACCAAGGCGACGAUGCGUAGCCGACCUGAGAGGGUGAACGGCCACACUGGGACUGAGACACGGCCCAGACUCCUACGGGAGGCAGCAGUAGGGAAUCUUCCGCAAUGGACGAAAGUCUGACGGAGCAACGCCGCGUGAGUGAUGAAGGUUUUCGGAUCGUAAAGCUCUGUUGCCAGGGAAGAACGCCAGAGAGAGUAACUGCUCUUUGGGUGACGGUACCUGAGAAGAAAGCCCCGGCUAACUACGUGCCAGCAGCCGCGGUAAUACGUAGGGGGCAAGCGUUGUCCGGAAUUAUUGGGCGUAAAGCGCGCGCAGGCGGUUCUUUAAGUCUGGUGUUUAAACCCGGAGCUUAACUUCGGGACGCACUGGAAACUGGGGAACUUGAGUGCAGAAGAGGAGAGUGGAAUUCCACGUGUAGCGGUGAAAUGCGUAGAUAUGUGGAGGAACACCAGUGGCGAAGGCGACUCUCUGGGCUGUAACUGACGCUGA